UUUAUUAUCAACAAAUUAUCAUGUUUAAUUAAGCUUAUCCAAUGGAAGUUGUUACACUAUUGAUUUUCAAAAUUAUACAUAACGUACAGCCGUCUUAAAUGUCAAUGCUUUUCAACCAGUCCAAAAAAAACAUCAAAUUUCUAAAACCUCCUAAUUUUCCAGAAAUGUGAGAGGAUAGUAAACCCUCGUGGCGCAUUCGUUGUACGAGAAAACUUCCGCGAACGAGUUACUGACUUACGAGUACACGCACAUACGGUGAUACGGAUACCAGUUUUAAAAUGAUAAGUGAAAUUGAAGAUGUCGAAGGUCACUGGUGCUCUCUUCCGACCUUUAAGUUCCAGCGAGAUCAGAGAUCACGGCAGUUGCGAUGAGAAAGACGGAGAUCUAUGAGGGUUCUGCUCAAGCUAGUGUCUAUAUAUUAAGAAAAAUCUAAUAAUACUAGAAAAUUGAGGUCAAAGCAAGACAAGUGAAUAGUGUCAAAAGGGUGUAAUUAUUUAGGAACGGAGGAAGUAUAUCCUAUGUAUGCGUAAACUCUUUUUUUUUUUACUUUAGUGAAAAUCAAUUAAACUGUAAUUCAAUAAUUUCCGCACAAAAGCGUGUUUUUGGCAUAAAUACUAUGUUGAAGAUAAUUUGAA